UAAAUAAAAUAUUUAAUAUUAAAUUUAUUUAUUUUAUAUUAAAAAUAAAGUAAAAAUUAUUUCAUAAAUGUUUAAUAAUAUUUUUAAAUUAACUAUAACUUAGUAUGGAUAAAAUUAUUUUUUAUAUCACAGCGGGGAGAGAUGUAACAACAAGAAUACUGGAUAUCAGCUAAAGAGAUUUUCCCGAAUUAGUUAAGACCAUAUAUUUUUGUAAUAACAAAAAUGUCAUCAAUAUCUAGUAUAUUGAUUAAGUGGCUAGAUUUCAUGAGCAAUUAUUACACACAAUGCAAUUUUUCAAAUAUAUCAUCAUAACAAUGUAAUAAAAUAUCAUUAGAAAUAUGGGCUGACAGACGAACUCCACUCAGAACCGUUUUUAGUGAGAAAUCAUUUAUCACUGAAUUAAAAUGAGUGAAAAACGGUCUGUCAACAUUUAUCAGAUAUGUUCUUAACGUGUGAUAACGUCUUAUAAAUCGAUGAACGACGGCAGUAUACGUAUAAUAAAAAAUUUCACGUUCCGCGAGUUGUUACGGAAAUCACAAAUAUAGCCAAACAUAUCAAACAAGUGAAAAGUGAAUGUGUUUCCAUAUCAAUAACAAUAAAUAAUGAUGAUCAUUCACAUUAAACUUGCAAAAAUUGAAAAAAUAAAUUGUAAAACCGCUUACAAUCACACCAUGGCAGACCAACCUGACGAACCUAUGGAUCUCAUGGAUCUUCCACUACCUUCAAGGAGUAAUGUACUCAUGAAAGGCGCGAGGCCCUACCACAUCUACGUCUGCAACGCCAUUCGCUAAGCUACCAACAAUCGCUGCUCAUUUUUUUUUUUUUUUAAAUUAAAUUCAUAAAAGUAUACAA